CACGUAGGGCGCAAGCGUUGUCCGGAAUUAUUGGGCGUAAAGAGCUCGUAGGCGGUCUGUUGCGUCCGCUGUGAAAACUCGGGGCUUAACCCCGAGCCUGCAGUGGAUACGGGCAGACUAGAGGUAGGUAGGGGAGAAUGGAAUUCCCGGUGUAGCGGUGAAAUGCGCAGAUAUCGGGAGGAACACCCGGUGGCGAAGGCGGUUCUCUGGGCCAUUACCUGACGCUGAGGCGCGAAAGCGUGGGGAGCAAACAGG
rnacentral:rRNA from 1 species